rnacentral:rRNA from 1 species
UACAGAGGCCUCAAGCGUUGUUCGGAUUCAUUGGGCGUAAAGGGCGCGUAGGCUGCGGGGCAAGUCGGGUGUGAAAUCUCAGAGCUCAACUCUGAAACUGCACUCGAUACUGCUUUGCUUGAGGACUGGAGAGGAGAUUGGAAUUCACGGUGUAGCAGUGAAAUGCGUAGAUAUCGUGAGGAAGACCAGUGGCGAAGGCGGAUCUCUGGACAGUUCCUGACGCUGAGGCGCGAAGGCCAGGGGAGCAAACGGG